AAAGAGGUCAUACUACGGAGCUCCCGACUACCGAUGCAACCACUGCGGGGCUAGCUUUUGGUGGCGUGAGAGGGUAAAGUCACAGUCUGCUAUCACAAAAAGGCGUGUUAUAUACAACAAUUCUUAAGAAACAGUUAUUGGUGAAGGUUAUUAUUACAAGGCUGGGCUAUGACAAUUGCUGGUGGUUCCUGUCAUGCCGGGAAUGUCAUAAAACAACCUAUGUUUUUGGAAGGCAUUUCCGUUGCUCGGACCCCACUUGCCCUUCCGUUAAUGCAGAUCCCUCAUACUGCGUGUGCACCUUU